UACGUAGGGCGCAAGCGUUAUCCGGAAUUAUUGGGCGUAAAGAGCUCGUAGGCGGUCUGUCGCGUCGGCUGUGAAAACUCGGGGCUCAACCCCGAGCCUGCAGCCGAUACGGGCAGACUAGAGUUCGGCAGGGGAGACUGGAAUUCCUGGUGUAGCGGUGAAAUGCGCAGAUAUCAGGAGGAACACCGGUGGCGAAGGCGGGUCUCUGGGCCGAUACUGACGCUGAGGAGCGAAAGCGUGGGGAGCGAACAGG
rnacentral:rRNA from 1 species